rnacentral:rRNA from 1 species
UGCCGGCGACCGGCGCACGGGUGAGUAACACGUAUGCGACCUGCCCCCCGCAGGGGGAUAACCGGGAGAAAUCCCGACUAAUACCGCGUAACGCCGCGGACCUGCAUGGGUCUGCGGCCAAAGGAAGCGAUUCCGGCGGGGGAUGGGCAUGCGGCGCAUUAGCUAGUCGGCGGGGUAACGGCCCACCGAGGCGACGAUGCGUAGGGGUUCUGAGAGGAAGGUCCCCCACACUGGUACUGAGACACGGACCAGACUCCUACGGAAGGCAGCAG